AAGUAAAGAAGUAAAAUUUACAUUUAGUUUCGACCUAAAAUUAGAGAUCUUCUCCUUACUUU
rnacentral:tRNA from 1 species